AUGAACGCUAGCUACAGGCUUAACACAUGCAAGUCGAGGGGCAGCAUGAACUUAGCUUGCUAAGUUUGAUGGCGACCGGCGCACGGGUGAGUAACACGUAUCCAACCUGCCGAUGACUCGGGGAUAGCCUUUCGAAAGAAAGAUUAAUACCCGAUGGCAUAGUUCUUCCGCAUGGUGGAACUAUUAAAGAAUUUCGGUCAUCGAUGGGGAUGCGUUCCAUUAGGUUGUUGGCGGGGUAACGGCCCACCAAGCCUUCGAUGGAUAGGGGUUCUGAGAGGAAGGUCCCCCACAUUGGAACUGAGACACGGUCCAAACUCCUACGGGAGGCAGCAGUGAGGAAUAUUGGUCAAUGGACGAGAGUCUGAACCAGCCAAGUAGCGUGAAGGAUGACUGCCCUAUGGGUUGUAAACUUCUUUUAUACGGGAAUAAAGUGAGGCACGUGUGCCUUUUUGUAUGUACCGUAUGAAUAAGGAUCGGCUAACUCCGUGCCAGCAGCCGCGGUAAUACGGAGGAUCCGAGCGUUAUCCGGAUUUAUUGGGUUUAAAGGGAGCGUAGGCGGACGCUUAAGUCAGUUGUGAAAGUUUGCGGCUCAACCGUAAAAUUGCAGUUGAUACUGGGUGUCUUGAGUACAGUAGAGGCAGGCGGAAUUCGUGGUGUAGCGGUGAAAUGCUUAGAUAUCACGAAGAACUCCGAUUGCGAAGGCAGCCUGCUGGACUGUAACUGACGCUGAUGCUCGAAAGUGUGGGUAUCAAACAGGAUUAGAUACCCUGGUAGUCCACACAGUAAACGAUGAAUACUCGCUGUUUGCGAUAUACAGUAAGCGGCCAAGCGAAAGCGUUAAGUAUUCCACCUGGGGAGUACGCCGGCAACGGUGAAACUCAAAGGAAUUGACGGGGGCCCGCACAAGCGGUGGAGCAUGUGGUUUAAUUCGAAGCAACGCGAAGAACCUUACCAGGUCUUGACAUCCUUCUGACCACUCCGUAAUGGGAGUCUUCCUUCGGGACAGAAGAGACAGGUGGUGCAUGGUUGUCGUCAGCUCGUGUCGUGAGAUGUUGGGUUAAGUCCCGCAACGAGCGCAACCCUUAUGGUCAGUUACUACGCAAGAGGACUCUGGCCAGACUGCCGUUGACAAAACGGAGGAAGGUGGGGAUGACGUCAAAUCAUCAUGCCCUUUAUGACCUGGGCUACACACGUACUACAAUGGCUAUAACAAAGGGAAGCGAUACCGCGAGGUGGAGCAAAACCCAAAAAAGUAGUCUCAGUUCGGAUUGAAGGCUGAAAUUCGCCUUCAUGAAGCCGGAAUUGCUAGUAAUGGCAGGUCAGCAUACUGCCGUGAAUACGUUCCCGGGCCUUGUACACACCGCCCGUCACACCAUGAGAGUUGGGAAUACCCGAAGCCUGUGAGCUAACUGUAAAGAGGCAGCAGUCGAAGGUAGAAUCAAUGAUUGGGGUG
rnacentral:rRNA from 1 species